rnacentral:misc_RNA from 1 species
UCUCUCUCCCCUUCUCUCGCCCUCUCUCGACUCCUCCCCCCUUCUCCCCUCUUUCCAUGGAGAGGGAGAGAGGGGGAGGGAAGAGGCGUGAGCUCGUAUCUGUUUCUAAUCGGAUAGCAUCUAUAUAUAUAUAUAUAUACCUAAGUAGUCAAGUUGUUUUCACACACCCACACGUAUUCUCUCUUGAUAUGGACACUGACUUGUUUUCUUGCAUCGUGACAGAGGAUCAGAAUGACAAGCGCGCACACACACGCACGGGGCAUCUCACCUCACCCCUCCCCUGUAUUUUGUCUGUGGGGAGGAGGGAGGUCGCUGCUCAUCUCUCUCUUGGCCCUCCCCCUUUCUCCCUCUCUCCUGUGAUCACGCGCGAUAGAUUCCCUCUUACCCUGCACGUGUGUGUACGUGUCUGUCUGUGCGUGCCUGUACCCGUCUCUGUUUUCUGGGCCAUCUUACUACUUGGUGUGGACGCCAUGAGCAGCCGGCGCACGUGGGAACAAAGAGGGGAUAGGGGGAGUGGGACGCAGGCAGGUGCAUGUCGGGACGGGAUUGGGGGGGGGAGCAGCUUAGUGCUCUACUGCUCUCCCAUAGGUUGAGCAGCGGCCCCAGUACUAUCCCCACCUCUCAAAACACGCACGUCGGCCUCCGUGUCUUAGGAUCUUUCUCAGCUGUGCGCUCAUGGUGUUUCUACCGCUGCCCACUCUCCGCCAGAUCACCACCGUUGGAUCGACCCCCUUCCCUUCUCUCCCCUUCUCUUCCCUUCCUUCUCGUGUGCGCAUCCCUUUACCCGCACUGCCCACCACUUUUUCACCCUGCAG